AGCAGCAGGCGCGAAACCUCCGCAAUGCUGGGAAACCGCGACGGGGGGACCCCCAGUGCCGUGCCUCUGGCACGGCUUUUCCGGAGUGUAAAAAGCUCCGGGAAUAAGGGCUGGGCAAGGCCGGUGGCAGCCGCCGCGGUAAUACCGGCGGCCCGAGUGGUGGCCACUAUUAUUGGGCCUAAAGCGGCCGUAGCCGGGCCCGUAAGUCCCUGGCGAAAUCCCACGGCUCAACCGUGGGGCUCGCUGGGGAUACUGCGGGCCUUGGGACCGGGAGAGGCCGGGGGUACCCCCGGGGUAGGGGUGAAAUCCUAUAAUCCCGGGGGGACCGCCAGUGGCGAAGGCGCCCGGCUGGAACGGGUCCGACGGUGAGGGCCGAAGGCCAGGGGAGCGAACCGGAUUAGAUACCCGGGUAGUCCUGGCUGUAAAGGAUGCGGGCUAGGUGUCGGGCGAGCUUCGAGCUCGCCCGGUGCCGUAGGGAAGCCGUUAAGCCCGCCGCCUGGGGAGUACGGCCGCAAGGCUGAAACUUAAAGGAAUUGGCGGGGGAGCAC
rnacentral:rRNA from 1 species